rnacentral:rRNA from 1 species
AGAGUUUGAUCCUGGCUCAGGACGAACGCUGGCGGUGUGCUUAACACAUGCAAGUCGAACGGUAAGGCCCUUUUUUGGGGUACACGAGUGGCGAACGGGUGAGUAACACGUGAGUAACCUGCCCUCAUCUCUGGGAUAACAGUCGGAAACGGUUGCUAAUACUGGAUAUGAGCUUGCAAGGCAUCUUGUGGGUUGGAAAGAUAUUUUUUGGUUGGGGAUGGACUCGCGGCCUAUCAGCUUGUUGGUGAGGUAGUGGCUCACCAAGGCUUCGACGGGUAGCCGGCCUGAGAGGGCGACCGGCCACAUUGGGACUGAGAUACGGCCCAAACUCCUACGGGAGGCAGCAGUGGGGAAUAUUGCACAAUGGACGGAAGUCUGAUGCAGCAACGCCGCGUGCGGGAUGACGGCCUUCGGGUUGUAAACCGCUUUCAAUUGUGACGAAGCUUUUUGUGACGGUAGCAGUAGAAGAAGCACCGGCUAACUACGUGCCAGCAGCCGCGGUGAUACGUAGGGUGCGAGCGUUGUCCGGAUUUAUUGGGCGUAAAGAGCUUGUAGGUGGUUUGUCGCGUCGGGAGUGAAAACUCAGGGCUUAACUCUGAGCUUGCUUUCGAUACGGGCUGACUUGAGGGAGGUAGGGGAGAAUGGAAUUCCUGGUGGAGCGGUGGAAUGCGCAGAUAUCAGGAGGAACACCGGUGGCGAAGGCGGUUCUCUGGACCUUUCCUGACGCUGAGAAGCGAAAGCGUGGGGAGCGAACAGGCUUAGAUACCCUGGUAGUCCACGCCGUAAACGGUGGGUACUAGGUGUGGGGGACAUUCCACGUUCUCCGUGCCGUAGCUAACGCAUUAAGUACCCCGCCUGGGGAGUACGGCCGCAAGGCUAAAACUCAAAGGAAUUGACGGGGCCCCGCACAAGCGGCGGAGCAUGCGGAUUAAUUCGAUGCAACGCGAAGAACCUUACC